rnacentral:tRNA from 1 species
GCCACCUUAGCUCAGUUGGUAGAGCAACGGUUUUGUAAACCGUAGGUCAUCGGUUCGAGUCCGAUAGGUGGCUCCA